rnacentral:rRNA from 1 species
AACGAACGCUGGCGGCGCGCCUAAUACAUGCAAGUCGAGCGAGAAAGUGUAGCAAUACACUUGUAAAGCGGCGAACGGGUGAGGAAUACAUGGGUAAUCUACCAUCGAGUGGGGAAUAACCAACCGAAAGGUUGGCUAAUACCGCGUACGCCUCCGAGUCUUCGGGUUCGGAGGGAAAGCUGCACUGUGAGUGUAGCGCUCUUUGAUGAGCUCAUGUCCUAUCAGCUUGUUGGUAGGGUAAUGGCCUACCAAGGCUUUGACGGGUAGCUGGUCUGAGAGGACGAUCAGCCACACUGGCACUGCGACACGGGCCAGACUCCUACGGGAGGCAGCAGUAAGGAAUAUUGCGCAAUGGGCGAAAGCCUGACGCAGCGACGCCGCGUGGGGGAUGAAGGUCUUCGGAUUGUAAACCCCUUUCGGAGGGAAGAUGGAGCGAGCAAUCGUUCGGACGGUACCUCCAGAAGCAGCCACGGCCAACUUCGUGCC